rnacentral:tRNA from 1 species
GGGGAUGUGGCUCAAGUGGUAGAGCACUCGCCUGGCAUGCGUGCGGCCUGAGUUCAAUCCUCAGCACCG